GUUUUUAUUGUUUAGUCGGUUUGGGUCGGGUUAUACAUAUAAAAAUAUUAGAUUUUCGGUUCGGGUUACGGGUUGGAAGGAAUUUUAACCCACCCAACCCGAACCGAACCGUUUCAUACCCAAAGAGCCAUUUUGCAAAAAUUAUUUUCAUUAAAUUAUUUCUAUGAAAUUUUGUAAGCCAUUGAUCUCUCACCAUCUAAUUACCACCGUUGGAUUUCAAGAUGAAAACACAAUACACAACAGUGAGCACUCAACAGUCAACACAAUCUCAGAUUCUCACAAAACGAAAUUGAAGCCCUAGCAUUCGCGUCGCCAGUCGCCACUCGCAGGCAGCAUCCUCCGGCCAGCCACCACCCGAUUGAACUCCCAAGCAACGCCACCACUUGAACAACCGCCGGCACCGGACCCAGUCCACUCGUCGCCCUCUCGCCGAUCGCCAUUCGCCACCACUCGUCGCCCUCCCAAGUCCCAAGCUCUGCAGGAAGUUGAUAAUCCAAGAUGAUAUCGAAUCACUCCACCACCUCAACUACUACCACAAAUAGGUGACAUACCCCACAGUAAUUUCCAAUAUGAUUUUGAUUUUGAGAGAAAAGUUAUAGCUGAAGCAGAGAAAGAAAACCAAAAUUGGAGCAGGCUUGGGUUGGAAAACCUUCCAGCUAGGACUACGUCAUCAGCAUCUUCAGUGGUAUGUCUCCUCUGUUUUGAUGUUUGUGAAGGUUCUUU